AAAUUGAAGAGUUUGAUCAUGGCUCAGAUUGAACGCUGGCGGCAGGCCUAACACAUGCAAGUCGAACGGUAACAGGAAACAGCUUGCUGUUUCGCUGACGAGUGGCGGACGGGUGAGUAAUGUCUGGGAAACUGCCUGAUGGAGGGGGAUAACUACUGGAAACGGUAGCUAAUACCGCAUAAUGUCGCAAGACUAAAGAGGGGGACCUUCGGGCCUCUUGCCAUCGGAUGUGCCCAGAUGGGAUUAGCUAGUAGGUGGGGUAACGGCUCACCUAGGC
rnacentral:rRNA from 1 species